GGUGAGUAACACGUGGGUAACCUGCCUGUAAGACUGGGAUAACUCCGGGAAACCGGGGCUAAUACCGGAUGGUUGUUUGAACCGCAUGGUUCAAACAUAAAAGGUGGCUUCGGCUACCACUUACAGAUGGACCCGCGGCGCAUUAGCUAGUUGGUGAGGUAACGGCUCACCAAGGCAACGAUGCGUAGCCGACCUGAGAGGGUGAUCGGCCACACUGGGACUGAGACACGGCCCAGACUCCUACGGGAGGCAGCAGUAGGGAAUCUUCCGCAAUGGACGAAAGUCUGACGGAGCAACGCCGCGUGAGUGAUGAAGGUUUUCGGAUCGUAAAGCUCUGUUGUUAGGGAAGAACAAGUACCGUUCGAACAGGGCGGUACCUUGACGGUACCUAACCAGAAAGCCACGGCUAACUACGUGCCAGCAGCCGCGGUAAUACGUAGGUGGCAAGUGUUGUCCGGAAUUAUUGGGCGUAAAGGGCUCGCGGGCGGUUUCUUAAGUCUGAUGUGAAAGCCCCCGGCUCAACCGGGGAGGGUCAUUGGAAACUGGGGAACUUGAGUGCANAAGANGAGAGUGGAAUUCCACGUGUAGCGGUGAAAUGCGUAGAGAUGUGGAGGAACACCAGUGGCGAAGGCGACUCUCUGGUCUGUAACUGACGCUGANGAGCGNAAGCGUGGGGAGCGAACAGGAUUANAUACCCUGGUAGUCCACGCC
rnacentral:rRNA from 1 species